rnacentral:hammerhead_ribozyme from 1 species
AUCCAGCUGACCAGUUCCAAAUAGGACGAAACGCACGUCCUGAAU